rnacentral:rRNA from 1 species
UACGAAGGGGGCUAGCGUUGCUCGGAAUCACUGGGCGUAAAGCGCACGUAGGCGGCUUUUUAAGUCAGGGGUGAAAUCCUGGAGCUCAACUCCAGAACUGCCUUUGAUACUGGGAAGCUUGAGUCCGGAAGAGGAGAGUGGAAUUCCCGGUGUAGCGGUGAAAUGCGCAGAUAUCGGGAAGAACACCCGUGGCGAAGGCGGCUCUCUGGGACGGUACUGACGCUGAGACGCGAAAGCGUGGGGAGCGAACAGG